rnacentral:rRNA from 1 species
GAGAAAAAUAUUAAGGGCGCAUGGGGGAUACCUUGGCGAAUAGAGCCGACGAAGGACGUGGUAAGCUGCGAUAAGCCUCGGGGAGCCGCUAUUGGCUGCGAUCCGGGGAUUUCCGAAUGAGGCAACUCAUUACGGGUAAUGCCGUAAUAUUAGGCGGUGAAUGCAUAGCCGCCUGAAGGUAAGCAGGGGAAUUGAAACAUCUUAGUACCCUGAGGAAAGUAAAUCAAUUGAGACUCCGUUAGUAGAGGUGAUCGAAAGCGGAAGAGCCUAAACCGCGCUGAUGCAAUAGGUGCCAGCCGUUGUCAGAGCGGUGUUGCGAGAGCAGAUGGGGCAGUCUGGCGACUGUCCGGCAAGUUACCAAAUUUUAGGCUAACAGAACGGUCUGAAAAGUCCGGCCACAGAGGGUUAUAGCCCCGUAAUUUAAAGCCUAAAGUCUUGCUUUUGUUUCUCAAGUAG